AACCACUUCGGUGGUGAGCGGCGAACGGGUGAGUAACACGUAGGUGAUCUGCCCAUCAGACGGGGACAACGAUUGGAAACGAUCGCUAAUACCGGAUAGGACGAAAGUUUAAAGGUGCUUCUGGCACCGCUGAUGGAUGAGCCUGCGGCGCAUUAGCUAGUUGGUAGGGUAAAGGCCUACCAAGGCGACGAUGCGUAGCCGACCUGAGAGGGUGAACGGCCACACUGGGACUGAGACACGGCCCAGACUCC
rnacentral:rRNA from 1 species